GUGGGAUUGAGUCACGCUGUUGGUCUGGCUUCUAAACUUGUUUGGGUUCCCCUCUCUAAAAACACAGUUUAUGUAAGGAAAUGGCAGUGCUGGCAUGCAAUAUGCAACAACAGGCCUCAUUCAUAUUGCAGAUCAAUCUGGGACUAAGAGGAAAAGUGGAAUAGCUACUUUCUUAUGAUCUAGUAAUUCUACAGAUGCUAGCUUUAAUUGGCAGAGUGCUUGAUUUGUCGGACUCGGAAGGCAGGAAUUCCUGGAAAAUGGGAAACGGAAUGACUGCUGGGCCUCAGAGUAGACGGCACUGAAGCUUGGCCUUGCAUGUGCAGGCAGACAGAGGCAGACACACACUUACACACAGACGAACACACACAUGGACACACACUAGAGACAAAGGCGUGGUGUAUCAGCAGGAUGAGCCAGAAGCAUGAUCCAGCACAGAAUGUUGAUGUGGCCCAGAGAGAUUAGAGAGACACACAGUCACAUAGUAUCAGAUAGAAACUGGGUUGGCUCUAGGUGACACAGCUCUGUGACACACACGUCCUGUGGUUUAACAGGCAGCAGCAGUGUGUGUGUCUCUCUAUGCAUGUAUGUGUGUGUGUGUGUGUGUGUGUGUGUGUGUGUGUGUGUGUGUCUCUCUAUGCAUGUAUGUGUGUGUUGUGUGUCUCUCUAUGCAUGUAUGUAUGUGUGUGUGUCUCUCUAUGCAUGUAUGUGUGUGUGUGUGUGUGUUUCUCUAUGCAUGUAUGUGUGUGUGUGUGUGUCUCUCUAUGCAUGUAUGUGUGUGUGUGUGUGUGUUUCUCUAUGCAUGUAUGUGUGUGUGUGUGUCUCUCUAUGCAUGUAUGUGUGUGUGUGUGUGUCUCUCUAUGCAUGUAUGUGUGUGUGUGUGUGUUUCUCUAUGCAUGUAUGUGUGUGUGUGUGUCUCUAUGCAUGUAUGUGUGUGUGUGUGUCUCUAUGCAUGUAUGUGUGUGUGUGUGUCUCUAUGCAUGUAUGUGUGUGUGUGUGUGUGUGUCUCUCUAUGCAUUAUGUGUGUGUGUGUGUCUCUCUAUGCAUGUAUGUGUGUGUGUGUGUGUGUUUCUCUAUGCAUGUAUGUGUGUGUGUGUGUGUGUUUCUCUAUGCAUGUAUGUGUGUGUGUGUGUGUUUCUC
rnacentral:lncRNA from 1 species